rnacentral:rRNA from 1 species
UACGUAGGGUCCGAGCGUUAAUCGGAAUUACUGGGCGUAAAGCGUGCGCAGGCGGUCUCGCAUGUCCGAUGUGAAAUCCCCGGGCUUAACCUGGGAACUGCGUUGGAAACUACGAGGCUUGAGUACGGCAGAGGGGGGUGGAAUUCCACGUGUAGCAGUGAAAUGCGUAGAGAUGUGGAGGAACACCGAUGGCGAAGGCGACAUACUGGAUCUUGUCUGACGCUGAGGCACGAAAGCCAGGGGAGCGAACGGG